GCAAGUCGAGCGCGGGAAGCGGACAGAACUCUUCGGAGGGACGUUCGUGGAACGAGCGGCGGACGGGUGAGUAACACGUAGGCAACCUGCCUGUAAGACUGGGAUAACUCGCGGAAACGCGAGCUAAUACCGGAUAAUACUUAUGAUCUCCUGAUGAUAAGUUGAAAGGCGGCUUUUGCUGUCACUUACAGAUGGGCCUGCGGCGCAUUAGCUAGUUGGUGGGGUAAUGGCUCACCAAGGCGACGAUGCGUAGCCGACCUGAGAGGGUGAUCGGCCACACUGGGACUGAGACACGGCCCAGACUCCUACGGGAGGCAGCAGUAGGGAAUCUUCCGCAAUGGACGAAAGUCUGACGGAGCAACGCCGCGUGAGUGAUGAAGGUUUUCGGAUCGUAAAACUCUGUUGUUAGGGAAGAACAAGUGCCAUAGUAACUGAUGGCACCUUGACGGUACCUAACCAGAAAGCCACGGCUAACUACGUGCCAGCAGCCGCGGUAAUACGUAGGUGGCAAGCGUUGUCCGGAAUUAUUGGGCGUAAAGCGCUCGCAGGCGGUUCUUUAAGUCUGAUGUGAAAUCUUGCAGCUCAACUGUAAACGUGCAUUGGAAACUGGAGGACUUGAGUGCAGAAGAGGAGAGUGGAAUUCCACGUGUAGCGGUGAAAUGCGUAGAGAUGUGGAGGAACACCAGUGGCGAAGGCGACUCUCUGGUCUGUAACUGACGCUGAGGAGCGAAAGCGUGGGGAGCGAACAGGAUUAGAUACCCUGGUAGUCCACGCCGUAAACGAUGAGUGCUAGGUGUUAGGG
rnacentral:rRNA from 1 species